rnacentral:lncRNA from 1 species
GAAAUGGCACCUAGAUCAAUCACACUGAUCAACCUUAAUGGCAUGGGUCAACUCAAAUCACUUAGUGAUCUAAUCAAGAUAUAAUUCACCAAAUUGACCAAAUAAGUGAGAUCAAUGGGAGGGUCUGCUAAGCUUAUCUUAGACACCAUCAAAAUGAUCAGAUAAAUCACUUCCAAUUAAAAAUCACCGAUCAAAAUACUGAACUUACCAUAGAUACUAAUUGGUUAAUUAGUUUUGAUUUGACCAACCUAAUGAUUCAGAUUCAACUACUGAGCCACA